UACGGGGGGGGCAAGCGUUGUUCGGAAUUACUGGGCGUAAAGGGCUCGUAGGUGGCCAACUAAGUCAGACGUGAAAUCCCUCGGCUUAACCGGGGAACUGCGUCUGAUACUGGAUGGCUUGAGUUUGGGAGAGGGAUGCGGAAUUCCAGGUGUAGCGGUGAAAUGCGUAGAUAUCUGGAGGACCACCGGUGGCGAAGGCGGCAUCCUGGACCAACACUGACGCUGAGUGAGCGAAAGCCAGGGGAGCAAACGGG
rnacentral:rRNA from 1 species